AAGCAAAAGAGAUGUGUGUCACGGUGUCACAUGUCGCUAUGACUUCUGAGGAAACGUCAGAUGAUACGAUAAGAGGCAGAGGAAGGAAAACAGCUGACAUGACUAUCAGAACCACUACAAAACCUUUAACAUCACUUCAUCUCUGAGCUGAUACGUGAUGUUCUUGUUCAGGGAGGAGGUGGAGGGGUAGGGGCUGGACCAGCUGAGCCGUCGGCCUCUGUCACCUGCAUCACGCACGGUCAGAUCAACUGUGAAGGUGACAGACAGAUGACGCGUAAACUCACAGUGCUGAGAGAGAUCCAGAGUCUUGUUGGAGCCAGAUGUGCAGAGGGCUUCUGUCUUAUUCUCCAGGAAGAACACGGUGUGAUUGAGGGCCAUGACGAAAAGUUUUGUUUCAUAUCUACACCGGACAGUCCUGUGCUCGUCGUGCACUGAGGCACUGUGAGGCAAACACUGCCUCCUGCAGACACAUGGACACAGAACGGUGGGACAAAUGACAAUAAUUCAUCAUAGUUUUGAUGUUUCAAGACAGUGUCACACGAAACACUUUCUUUGAUUUCAGACUCCCUGCUGGUGUUACCUGCCACUGUCCGCCUUGAACCAGAGCUGCAGCGCCGUGUCUCUGUGUUCCCUCCACUCGCACUCCACAUGGGACAAGUAGUCGUUGUAGCACUGUAACGAUUUCAGCAACUCUGGGAUGGCAGGGACAAGUGUUGUUUUCAGGGUUUGUGCACAAUAUAUAUUCUGUAGGCAGUCGUGGAAAAAGUGUUUAAUUUAAGGUGCAACAUGCAGAACAAAAUUAGUAAUAGGAUGUGAAGAAACAACCAUUUUGAUGUUAUUAGGUCUACUUAUUGUGUUACAGGGAUAUCAAUUGAAGUUGAGAGCUAAACAGCUAAGGCGUUCUACCUCAAUAAGUGAUGUCCAGUAGCAACACCCAUAACUGCCUGUUGCUGUGAGCUCCCAGUCCAGGCAGAGUCAGCUAUUACGACUGCAAGCUGCAGGGUUAAGCAGCAGCAGAUACAGUUAGCAGCGGUUUCCCUUGUGAUAUGCUGCCCCCCUGUUGUUUGAAUUCACUGCACUUUUAAUUAAAGUGUAGAAAUACCACAA